UAGAGAUAUGUUAUGUGAUUCCUUCUCCUUUGAUUCAGUAUUUAUUUUUAUGUUUGUCUUGUGGGAUCAAAAUAUUUAACUAUGUCUCUGUUGAACAGGCUGCAAGGGUAGGUUUUUGCUCGCAGAUAAACGACUCUUCUGACAUUGAGAGAGGAACAAGUAUCGCUAUUAAUAGAGGGGUUGAUUUAGCCAGAGCAGCUCUUCAUAUCGCAGCUGAAGAUGACUCCAUCAUCUCGCACUCUUCUGUUCCAUUGCCAGUUGAUGAUUUCAUCGAGAGAUUGGAUACCCUCUCUAUGGGAUUUUGCUCUCAAUACAGCUCAUCAUUUAGAUCCUCACCAGACAAUUUUCCUAUACCUCAAUAAAGUAAGUUACGCUCCUCUAUUAUGCACGACAUAGUUACUGUUGUUCUGUCUCCUCAUCUCUGAAUCAAUAAGAAACCCGGCUUUCAUGAAACCAUUAUGACUUCUUCUUCUUCUUCUUCAUGCCUUGAGAUAAUUGGUCUCUGUAAAUCUUCCUUCAUGAUGGCAUUAAUCAGAACCUGUACUGUAUAUUUAACGCUACUGUUCAGAGUGUCAACUGUAAUGUGGCGUUGUCCUUUCAGGGUUUUCGCCGUGCCCUGUAUCUCCAUUCAGUCUUAACACACCGUUCUGGCUCUCUUUCCAUGCACUCCCUUAUAUACUCAGAGAUUCUACAGAUGCUUCGAAUGUGGGUUGUUCUGAAUUUUGAUGUAGAAAUCUUCUUUCCCCGUGAUUCACAUAGUUCUCCCAGAGGGUAUCUAAAACAAAAAGAGCAAAGAUUCUGAUCAAUCACAUAUAUAUUAUGACAUCACAAUCUUUACUAGUGGAGAUACUGAAAGAUUUAAAGAAUGCUUUCUGGCCAUUUCAACUUGAUCAUGCUAGGAGUCCAUUCCUAAGGGCCGCAGACGCGGCUCGUUGCGUUACUGGUGCCAACAAUGCUAAUGAAAGGCUGCCCGCCAUCGGCUGCAACGAGGUGUUUGGACUAGUGUUCAUUUUGGAGAUAUGCGUCGUGCAUUAUCAGCAUGUGAACGCCUUAUUUUACUCAAGCAUGAUCCUAAGGAGCUAAGAGACUAUGCUGUACUCCUCUACCAUUGUGGAUAUUACGAGGAAGCGCUGCAGUUCCUUAAGCAUUACCAGAACACAAAGCAGCAAACUGGUUCGGACACCAAUGUCGAGGAAGAAGCCGCAGAGAAACUAGUAGUACGGCUGAACCUGAGUUUGAUGGAGGUUGGUUGGUCGGUCAAAACAACCGGAGCACAUAAAUAUAUCCUUUUCAAAAACUCUCAACCAUGCUUAUUUGGGUGUACUGGCCUUACACCAAAAGAAUCGGUACAAAAAUGGUAGCUAUAAAUACAACAAGAUGGAUCCAUCAUCAACCGUCUUCCGAGAAAACUCUGAAUAUGAAAUCCCUGAAGCGCUUGGAGUAUUGCUUGGGAUCCACAGCUGAGAUAGAGGAUGUCGAUGAUGCCAAAAAUGAGGACCACGUCGUAGUACUCCCCCGUCGGCUCUCCCACUAGCUGAGCCUCCCCAUUGUUUUUCCUUACUGUCAGCUCGGCUCGUGCAGGGAUGUUGGCACCUAGUUUGAACGUUGUCGAC